rnacentral:sRNA from 1 species
AUGCGUUUGAUUUCAUCAGUACUUUUUGAAAGGAAAACAAAUUUGCAAUUUAGGAAAGAAAAUAAUGCAUUGCCAGUAUUUGUUCGAAGUUUGACAGAAUGUGCAAACCGUUGUGUCAGUAAAACUAAAUGUGUUUCGUUCUUUUAUAACCACAUAGAUUCUCUCUGCCAAUCGGAUGGAAAAAUAUAUGUGACUUCUGUUUACAAAAAUGCAUAUUCUUGGAUAUAUUACGAAACGAAAAUGACGAAUGUGGCAGCCUUUAAGUCAGUCAAUAUGAGCUCUGAAUAUAACCCACCUCACCAUUCUCCACAUUACGCAGUGGACGACCAAGUGUUUAAUACGUGGCAAGCUGAAAAGUGUGCAAGUACUAUGAAUGAAUCUACGCCUUGGAUAAACAUUGAUUUGGGAAACACUUUCAAUGUCAACUAUGUCACGCUGUUUAACAUGGUCGUGUUCGUCAUAUUUCUGUUUUUUUGGGUGAGGCAGCUGGACUAUUUCUGGUCUCCUGUGGCAAAUUCGAAGGCCCCGGUGAAAAUGCUGAAGUUGUUCAUGUCGUUUGUGAUACACCUGCACGGGGACAAUUUGUGA